rnacentral:rRNA from 1 species
GACGAACGCUGGCGGCGUGCCUAAUACAUGCAAGUAGAACGCUGAAGAGAGGAGCUUACUCUUCUUGGAUGAGUUGCGAACGGGUGAGUAACGCGUAGGUAACCUGCCUUGUAGCGGGGGAUAACUAUUGGAAACGAUAGCUAAUACCGCAUAACAAUGGAUGACACGUGUCAUUUAUUUGAAAGGGGCAAUUGCUCCACUACAAGAUGGACCUGCGUUGUAUUAGCUAGUAGGUGAGGUAAUGGCUCACCUAGGCGACGAUACAUAGCCGACCUGAGAGGGUGAUCGGCCACACUGGGACUGAGACACGGCCCAGACUCCUACGGGAGGCAGCAGUAGGGAAUCUUCGGCAAUGGGGGCAACCCUGACCGAGCAACGCCGCGUGAGUGAAGAAGGUUUUCGGAUCGUAAAGCUCUGUUGUAAGUCAAGAACGGGUGUGAGAGUGGAAAGUUCACACUGUGACGGUAGCUUACCAGAAAGGGACGGCUAACUACGUG